CUGACAGCACUGUGGCCCUGCCAGAGCUGCUGGGAUCCUUCUUUAAGCAGCUGGACAUGUGAACCCAUUCCCAGGGUCUGAGUGCCCCGUGGCGUUUAGAAGACGGCCUGCAUGCUGGAAGUUGCCAUGCAUGCUCAGAGGGAGAUUUAAUAAUUCUAAGGACUCCAACUAGAACGGCCACUCUUUACCACCUCUUCUACUCUGUUCACUGUAUCACCCAGAACCACUAUCAAG
rnacentral:lncRNA from 1 species